CAGGAUGAACGCUAGCGACAGGCUUAACACAUGCAAGUCGAGGGGCAGCGGGGGCGUAGCAAUAUGCUUGCCGGCGACCGGCGCACGGGUGAGUAACACGUAUGUAACCUGCCCUAUGCAGGGGGAUAACCCGGAGAAAUCCGGCCUAAUACCGCGUAACACCUUUGGGGAGCAUUCCCUUGGGGUUAAAGGAGAGAUCCGGCAUAGGAUGGACAUGCGUCGCAUUAGGUAGACGGCGGGGUAACGGCCCACCGUGCCGACGAUGCGUAGGGGUUCUGAGAGGAAGGCCCCCCACACUGGUACUGAGACACGGACCAGACUCCUACGGGAGGCAGCAGUGAGGAAUAUUGGUCGACGGCCGAGAGGCUGAACCAGCCAAGUCGCGUGAGGGAAGAAUGUCCUAAGGAUUGUAAACCUCUUUUGUCGGGGAGCAAAAAGGCUCUGCGGAGUCGUAUUGAGAGUACCCGAAGAAAAAGCAUCGGCUAACUCCGUGCCAGCAGCCGCGGUAAUACGGAGGAUGCGAGCGUUAUCCGGAUUUAUUGGGUUUAAAGGGUGCGCAGGCGGCGUGUCAAGCAAGCGGUAAAAUAGCGGGGCUCAACCCCGUCGAGCCGUUUGAACUGGCGCGCUUGAGUUCAGGCGAGGUAGGCGGAAUUCGUGGUGUAGCGGUGAAAUGCAUAGAUAUCACGAAGAACUCCGAUUGCGAAGGCAGCUUACCAGUCUGCGACUGACGCUCAGGCACGAAAGUGUGGGUAUCGAACAGGAUUAGAUACCCUGGUAGUCCACACAGUAAACG
rnacentral:rRNA from 1 species